CUUGGUCAUUUAGAGGAAGUAAAAGUCGUAACAAGGUUUCCUUCCCCCUAUUGAAGCCUUCCGCAGCGACUUGAUAAAUAACUGCGUAGCCUGCUUUGCAGACCACACCACGAAAGUGCUAGGACUUGAUUAACUUCGAGUACCAGCAGCCUAGAGUUCUAGGUCCACAGAUCAUGUAGUGGUGGUCAUUUAUGAUUGAGAUAUGACCGGUCUUAACUAACUCUAGUUAAGAAUCAACGUUCCGUAGGUGAACCUGCGGAAGGAUCAUUAUUGAAAAAGGGAACCCUUCGGGGUUCAACCUUAAACCCUUUGUCUUAAUUACCUGUUUCUUUGGCGGGCUCGCCCGUCAGAAGUUUUCUCAAACCCAUUAUAAAUGUGUCAUCUGAAUAACAAAAUAAAUCAAAACUUUCAACAACGGAUCUCUUGGUUCUGGCAUCGAUGAAGAACGCAGCGAAAUGCGAUAAGUAAUGUGAAUUGCAGAAUUCAGUGAAUCAUCGAAUCUUUGAACGCAUAUUGCGCCCUUUGGCAUUCCGAAGGGCAUACCUGUUCGAGCGUCAUUACACCCCUCAAGUCAAACUUUUUGGUUAACUUGGUGUUGGGCCUUGCCGGAAGGCAUGCCUAAAAAUUAGCGAUGGUACGUUAAACCACGGACGCACAAAUGUCGUUACGUAGGGGCACGGCACCAGUCUAAUGAUUAAUUUCUCAAUGUUGACCUCGGAUCAGGUAGGAAUACCCGCUGAACUUAAGCAUAUCAAUAAGCGGAGGA
rnacentral:rRNA from 1 species